UACGAAGGGUGCAAACGUUGGCUCGGAAUUAUUGGGCGUAAAGCGCACGUAGGCGGCUUUGGUAAGUCGGAUGUGAAAUCCCUCGGCUUAACCAAGGAAGUGCAUCCGAAACUACAGAGCUUGAGUACUUAAGAGGAUCGCGGAAUUCCCGGUGUAGAGGUGAAAUUCGUAGAUAGUCGGGAGGAACACCAGGUGGCGAAGGCGGCGAUC
rnacentral:rRNA from 1 species